rnacentral:rRNA from 1 species
GCGAAUUCGCCCUUCGGGGUGCAGCAGGCGCGAAAACUUUACAAUGCGGGAAACCGUGAUAAGGGGACACCGAGUGUCAGCGUCAUACGCUGGCUGUCCAGGUGUGUAAAAUACACCUGUUAGCAAGGGCCGGGCAAGACCGGUGCCAGCCGCCGCGGUAACACCGGCGGCCCGAGUGGUGAUCGUGAUUAUUGGGUCUAAAGGGUCCGUAGCCGGUUUAGUCAGUCCUCCGGGAAAUCUGAUAGCUCAACUAUUAGGCUAUCGGGGGAUACUACCAGACUUGGAACCGGGAGAGGUAAGAGGUACUACAGGGGUAGGAGUGAAAUCUUGUAAUCCCUGUGGGACCACCUGUGGCGAAGGCGUCUUACCAGAACGGGUUCGACGGUGAGGGACGAAAGCUGGGGGCACGAACCGGAUUAGAUACCCGGGUAGUCCCAGCCGUAAACGAUGCUCGCUAGGUGUCAGGCAUCGCGCGACCGUGUCUGGUGCCGCAGGGAAGCCGUGAAGCGAGCCACCUGGGAAGUACGGCCGCAAGGCUGAAACUUAAAGGAAUUGGCGGGGGAGCAC